rnacentral:rRNA from 1 species
CGAGUGGCGAACGGGUGAGUAAUAUAUCGGAACGUGCCAGUCGUGGGGGAUAACGUAGAGAAAUUUACGCUAAUACCGCAUACGAUCUACGGAUGAAAGCGGGGAUCGCAAGACCUCGCGCGAUUGGAGCGGCCGAUAUCAGAUUAGGUAGUUGGUGAGGUAAAGGCUCACCAAGCCGACGAUCUGUAGCUGGUCUGAGAGGACGACCCAGGCCACACUGGGACUGAGACACGGCCCCAGACUCCUACGGGAGGCAGCAGUGGGGAAUUUUGGACAAUGGGCGCAAGCCUGAUCCAGCAAUGCCGCGUGCAGGAUGAAGGCCUUCGGGUUGUAAACUGCUUUGUACGGAACGAAACGGUGAGCUCUAAUACAGUUUGCUAAUGACGGUACCGUAAGAAUAAGCACCGGCUAACUACGUG